GCUUAUUAUUGGACCUCAAGUGGACCCUUUUUGCAAUUGUUAGGCCUUAAAAGGUACAUUUAUGUUGAAAAUGUGAAUUGCAAAUCACAUGUGACUUAUAGAGCCACCAAACUGAGAAGUGUCAUUUCCUGUUUUUGAUUAAUUAUGAUGUGUUUCUUUUUAUUUAUUAAUUAAUAACCAUUAAGGAAAUUAAUGAUAAGCUGUAUAAUCCAUUCACUAUAAUUGGCUGAGCUGAGUUUGACCAGUAAAAUAAAUGUAUUUCAUUCCUCUUUCCUCUGGUUCUUCUUUACAACAACAAACAACAAGGAAAGUUUGUCAUGUGGCUGGCAUUCCAUUAUGAACUAUAAGUAAUCUCUCUGACUUCAUGGUGAAAAAGCUUCAGAUUUCUGCCAUGUGUUUAGAAAUGGCAGCGCAGAGUCUGUAACACCAUUACUGAGAAACCUACUGAAUGGUGACCAAAACAAAACUGCAACCAGACUUUACAGCAAGACUUUUGCCCAUUAUGCAUUCACGAAAACACACACAGACACACACUUUUAAUAAUGUUGGAGGUGGUUUUCACCUUGCCUGAAUUCCUCCUACAAAUCCCUUGCAAAAAAAUAACCUUCCAAACCUCUUGGAUCUACAUCUGUGCGCAAGAGAAGUAAGCCCAUGAAGUUUUUGUUUCCAUAACAACUGUGUGAGAAAUAAAAGAUGAAUAAUUAUUUUAGCACCUAUGCCGGCCAAUACAAAGAGAACAAAACAGCCCUUGAAUAGAUUUGAAUCAUCAUCACAUGACCAUUAAAUGCCACAAAUGUAUUUCUGUUCUACUCUUCCUACAGUGAUCUACGCUGUGCAGCUAAAUUGUAGCCAGCGUCAUUUUCGUUUUCAUCGCCACCAUGAUGCUCAUUUUCACCAUGCUCAUCCUCUCAUGCUCAUCUUCAUCUACAUCAUCCUCGUCAUCCUGCUGAGAGCCAGGUAUAGUCUAAAUCCAUAAUAUAAUAUGCUGCAGAACAUAUGAAAACAGAGACAAAGAGGUUCAAGUGAAAAGUGAAAGGGAUCAGCUAAAGUUCAGACUCUGACACCAUGACAUAAGUUGAACUUCUUUUUGUCGUACCAAUCCAUAAUACAGAAGGUGUGAUGGGUAGUGUUGGUUCAAAUGAUAUAACACAGCAACACAUCAUUUUUAAAUGCUUGCCUGAGGCUACAAAACAAAGGAUAAGCCCACAACUGUGCUCUCCCCUCUGCUAACAAUUACCGUGAAUUCUGCCCUUGAGCAAAACACUUAACCUCCAACUGGCUCUUUGGAGCUGCUCAAUGGUCUCUAGAAGAAAUAAAUGGAAGCCCCCAAAUGUGAAUAUGUGGAUUGGAUAAAAGUCAGACUGGAAAGAUAAACAAAUCAUAAUCAGAGUUAGGAUCCCAAAACUGCCAUUCAAAACUGCAGAAACCUUGGAGACACACUGUGCAUACCAAUGUACCAAUAAACUUGUUUUCUUUAGUUUUUUUGUUUUUUUAAAGUGAGUUGAGGAUUCUUAUCAUUGUCACUGGUGUCUCAAUGUCAUCAACAGGCGGGGGAUAAUGGGGAACAAAAGAGCAGCUGGAUAGCACAUGGCUCCUCCUCAGGACAAAAGUUAAAUUAGCACGUUAUGACAACUACUGAAGGUCAUAUUUGACAACAUGAAAGCAAUAUUUGAUAUUAAAUCCUUGAAUUCAGGCAGAAAUUUGUUGCUGCUCGGUGAAAAACAACUUAGUCCUAUUUUUUUUAAAGCAUGCAUCUCCAUCUUAUUAAGAGUAGACAUCCCUCUCUCCCAUUUAAUACUGAAUGGUUAUUUGUCACAUUUAAACAUCUUGCACUAAUUAAAAAAGCAUUUAAAUCAGCUAGUGCUCUCAAGCCAUUAGUUUUCCAUUUAUGGUUUUCUGAUGCUCAUAGUGUGCAGAAUGCAGAAGAUCUGAAAGGUGUUUUAAACAUGUUCAUUUUUGCAGCACAUCUUGUAGUCUCCUGCCAGUCAGUUUCGAUUAAAAAAGGGUAAUUGAAUAUCAGCCUUCGUUAGUAUCAGGACCAUAAAUGGGCCGUGUUGUAAAUUGGAGAUGGUCAUGGGUGGGUGCCCUUAUUACUGGGAGAGUGUUAAAGGAACUUCUGAUUAGCCCAGUUGGUCAAACACUUGUUUGAUACCAGGAUAAUUACAUUACCAGGAGAGCAUACAGACAAUGAUUUAGUUACCUUGGGCUGAUAAAAAGUAAUUAAUGGAGAAGAAUAUCAAACCAUCUCCAGAUCUCAAGAUCACAUUUUCUCACCGUAGAGAUGGAUGUGGCGGUGUGCUGGAUGCCAAAUAAUGAUUUAACUUAAUUGUCUGAUCCAUCUGGAAUGCUCUCUGUCGUCAUUGUCUCCUUUUUAUUGUCUGUCUCACUCUUCAAAUGAGUUUAAUGAUGGUCAAGAUGCUUUUUUUUUUUUUUUUUGCAUUUCUUUGAUUUUCAUACAUCCUCCACCUCUCAUGAUGUCUGGGAUCCUAAAUAACAAAAUUAAAACUUUGAUGCAAAUGUUGCACCAAUUUUCCAGUCUGUAUAAACUGAUCCAUAUAACACAUUUGCUGUGCAUAAUAUAAUUAAAAAGGUAUAAUGCAAAGCUGUAUUUUACAAGUGUUGUAUGUGGACCUGAUCAAAAUAAAUGAACAUAACAUCUAACCAAAGUGUAUCUUGUAUAACCAGGAAAACUAACCGGUAUUAUACCGGUAUUCUGGUAUUAUACAUGAAAUAACAAGGGAAGGUAAUAUAGAGGGAAUGCACUUUACAGUUUGUCAGUGUUUAAAGCCUCAGCAGACAUAAGUUGUCAAAGUUUUUUUUUUUUUACAUGUUCUUCUUCUAGAAAUAAUCCUAAAAACCCACAUCAGGUCUGGAGGCUAACUGUCAUAUGACAAGAAAACUAUGUCAUUCACACACACACACACACACACACACACACACACACACACACACACACACACAAACACACACACACACACACACACACACACACACACACACACACACACACACACACACACACACACACAGUCUGGAAUUGGAGCCGGAGUGUAUUGAUUGCUUCUGUCCUAUAAUUCCUCAUGGUGCCAGCAGGCUACAGACCCAUUAAUGAAUAGCUGGGCUGAGAUAAAUAUCUAUUGCCUCAUGGGACACACGAACACACAUCCACACAUCCCAACAUACACACUUACCUUCCAGCAAAACUUCAAGCGCUAUUUUGUCAUUAGUUUUUCACUAAAUCAUCUUAAUGAUCUCUUUAUCUUUACCCAAAUGAAAAUUCCCCUUCAUUCUCCAACCAGGUUUUAUCAAUGAUGGACACACACUGUUCUGUAAUACUAUCCUCCAAUAGUUUGAAGCCAUUCAUAAGAACAUGUUUCAUAUAUUCAUAUUGUGUUUGUAGAAAAAUGGACUGCUACGCUGUCCCUCUUUGCUAUACAUUUCAGUCCAGACAAUGGAGGGCAGCCAGUGGUCAUAGCUUUGACUUAUAAAGUUGCCUUCACAGCAACAACAUCUCUUUGUUUUAUGGUCAGCCAUUACUGCUUGAGUUAUGUUUCCAUUACAAGCACUGUCUGCCUUUUAUCUCUUACUGUAAACCUCAUUAGUAGUAUUCAUAAAUGGCUCUUUUUUUCUUAUGAAACAGAUUUUAGGGAAACAUAAUCUCAAACUUAAGUUAGAAAAUAAAAUUAAAAUGUGUCCAACUGAACAAAAGGUUCUAUCUAAUGUAUCGGGCCACAAGUUUUGCAACCUUACAGAUCAAGUAGUGGAGUUUCAUGUCCAGCCAACAUGAAACCAAGCCUUGAUCCUCUAUGUUCUCAUUUUAGACACAUACUCUAAAAAGUCUCCACUGUUGAAUGAACUCACAGAGAAUAGUUUGAAUCAAAAGUUAAAAAAACAGACUCUCUCUGGAGAUCAUCCAGCACAAGGCUGCACCCCUUCUGCCUGCUGUUGCCAUGGAAAUAUCCCCUACCAUAUUUGGAUGAAUCCAGCAUAGCAGCUGUGGUGAAAUGUGGCGCAUGCGCAUGUGUUUAUAUGAAUGGCUUUGUGCAUGUGUGGGAGCAUUUAUAUGAGUGUGUGUGACCGUCAGGGAAGGUGUACUGUUUUCUGUCAUAUUUAGAGUACCAAUCAGCAAUAUAUGAGAAAGGUGUUAUUGCUGAUGCCAAUGGCCAAUUCAGUGAUAUACAUAACUCUGUUCUUUUGUUACAUUCCUCUUGUAUUUCACACUCUCCCUCAUACUUAUACUCUCAUGCUUCAUUAUCGGUCCCUACUUCUUUCUUUUUCACCCCUAUCGUAUGUGACUGAAUCUCAUCCAUUCUUUCUUUCUGUUACUCUGUCAAGCUGCUUGCAUUUUGUCAGCUGGUAAGAGUGUGUUGUACGAGCACAGAGACCCUGAACUGACCGUUCAACAGAGGUCAGCCCCCUGCAGUGUCCCACUUCACACCACAGCUGUCUGUUAAGGCUGCACUUCCUUGUGGUUUCAUGUCGAAAUAAUUUGAAACAGAGAGGUUGAAGGGCAAUCCGAUGGCAAAACAUCUGAGCGACUCAAGAUGUCUCAAACUGCAUGCAUUUAAAAUUGAUUUUCCGUGGUUUGUACACCUGCAUCGUCGUGAGCAAAGAUCAAAGCACCUAGUCAGGGCAGAGCAAAGGAAACAGAGCGGUUAGGGGCAGGAAAGCUGAAGAAUGGCAAGGAAAUGGAAAGAAGGGAGUAGAUGAUUGAAAGGAGGAGAGAUUUGUAAUGGAGGGUAUAGAGUAGAGAGAAGACAAGACAUGCAUGUGUAGUGUGUAUGUGUGGCAUUCAAAAAGCAAUGCAAUAAGACAUUUCAUGUUACACAUAAAAAGCAUAUCGCACACUGUAGGAGAAUAAUUGACAGAAUUCCCGUUUGUCCGGGAUGCAUCCGCACUCGCAAACACUUACACAAACACACAGAGGUGCUGUAAACACUCACAUAUACGCUACAUGCACACACAAACCAAGUCUAAUUCAGUUUGUGAGUUAUUGGUUUUGUGUUAUGUUUGCUACAAUCAUGUUAAUUAACCCUUGAUUAAAACAAGAGAUGCUUCAUGUCAUUUAAUUGGCAAAAUGAUGGAAAUUAAUUCUGCUCGGUCUUUUCAUAGCUUUGCAAUAAAAGCCUGCAGGUAAUUAAACACAUGGGAAUAUGGAAGAGAAGAAAGAUAGUUGGAUGACAAGGGAGGAAGGGGGGGGAUAUGAGAACAAAUGCGUUGGUUUUUCAUAUAAAUACAUGUGUGUUUGUAAGACUUUACAGUACAUUGUAUGUGUUAAAUGGCCGACAUAGCAGGAAGUGUAUUUUACUUGACUCAGAAAGAGGGUAUGAGAUACAGUGACUGUGUGUGUGUUUAAAUCUAGUGAGUGAUUGAUCUCUCUAUUCAGUAGUGUUGUCUCAAAGGUAAAGGUAAUGAGAUCAAUAGACGGUCUGUGGCUUCUAUGUUGAGGCUGUACACCUGUACAUGCACACACAUAAUGAAUGUGUUUGACAUUGGUGCUUAAACGUGAGUUCAGAGUCCAAAUGGGUUGGAAGUGGGUUCAAAAACUAACAAGGCAAAAUCAAUGAAUGAUUUUCCAUAUAGUCUGGACAAUGGUCUCGGGCUUUAAGACUGUUUUGUGUUUUCUGGCUAUGUUUGAAUUGAUGGAAGUGCUCUGUCUUAUCAAGCCUAACAUUGUCUAAAGAUUGUGGCUCCUUUGGGCAAAGAACAAGCCAAAUCUGUUCUUCAAUUGUGGCAUCUUUGUUUGAUUUUUAGAUCAGACAGGCUUGAUUUAAAAUGAAAAAAGAAAAAGAUGAUUGAUCCAAUAUCUGACCUGUCCUCUACUGUAUUUUACUUUGUUCUGUGAUGCAAGCAAUCUCUAACACUUAUUACUUUG